GAUGAACGCUGGCGGCGUGCUUAACACAUGCAAGUCGAACGAUGAAGCCCAGCUUGCUGGGUGGAUUAGUGGCGAACGGGUGAGUAACACGUGAGUAACCUGCCCUUAACUCUGGGAUAAGCCUGGGAAACUGGGUCUAAUACCGGAUAGGAGCGUCCACCGCAUGGUGGGUGUUGGAAAGAUUUAUCGGUUCUGGAUGGACUCGCGGCCUAUCAGCUUGUUGGUGAGGUAAUGGCUCACCAAGGCGACGACGGGUAGCCGGCCUGAGAGGGUGACCGGCCACACUGGGACUGAGACACGGCCCAGACUCCUACGGGAGGCAGCAGUGGGGAAUAUUGCACAAUGGGCUCAAGCCUGAUGCAGCGACGCCGCGUGAGGGAUGACGGCCUUCGGGUUGUAAACCUCUUUCAGUAGGGAAGAAGCGAAAGUGACGGUACCUGCAGAAGAAGCACCGGCUAACUACGUG
rnacentral:rRNA from 1 species